rnacentral:rRNA from 1 species
AAUGAACUUUCCAGAGAUGGAUUGGUGCCUUCGGGAACAUUGAGACAGGUACUGCAUGGCUGUCGUCAGCUAGUGUCGUGAGAUGUUGGGUUAAGUCCCGUAACGAGCGCAACCCUUGUCCUUAGUUACCAGCACGUAAUGGUGGGCACUCUAAGGAGACUGCCGGUGACAAACCGGAGGAAGGUGGGGAUGACGUCAAGUCAUCAUGGCCCUUACGGCCUGGGCUACUCACGUGCUACAAUGGUCGGUACAAAGGGUUGCCAAGCCGCGAGGUGGAGCUAAUCCCAUAAAACCGAUCGUAGUCCGGAUCGCAGUCUGCAACUCGACUGCGUGAAGUCGGAAUCGCUAGUAAUCGCGAAUCAGAAUGUCGCGGUGAAUACGUUCCCGGGCCUUGUACACACCGCCCGUCACACCAUGGGAGUGGGUUGCACCAGAAGUAGCUAGUCUAACCUUCGGGAGGACGUUAAAAUCGUUGAUAUAACGA